rnacentral:rRNA from 1 species
CCUACGGGAGGCAGCAGUGAGGAAUAUUGGUCAAUGGACGCGAGUCUGAACCAGCCAAGUAGCGUGAAGGAUGACUGCCCUAUGGGUUGUAAACUUCUUUUAUCAAGGAAUAAAACGAGCCACGUGUGCCGUUUUGCAUGUACUUUAUGAAUAAGCAUCGGCUAACUCCGUGCCAGCAGCCGCGGUAAUACGGAGGAUCCGAGCGUUAUCCGGAUUUAUUGGGUUUAAAGGGUGCGUAGGCGGGUUGUUAAGUCAGGUGUGAAAGUUUGCGGCUCAACCGUAACAUUGCAUUUGAUACUGGCAGUCUUGAGUACAGUAGAGGUAGGCGGAAUUCGUGGUGUAGCGGUGAAAUGCUUAGAUAUCACGAAGAACCCCGAUUGCGAAGGCAGCUUACUAGACUGUAACUGACAUUGAUGCUCGAAAGUGUGGGUAUCAAACAGGAUUAGAUACCCGAGUAGUC